rnacentral:rRNA from 1 species
UGAGGGAUAUUGGUCAAUGGGCGAGAGCCUGAACCAGCCAAGUAGCGUGCAGGAAGACGGCCCUAUGGGUUGUAAACUGCUUUUAUGUGGGGAUAAAGUGCGUGACGUGUCAUGCAUUGCAGGUACCACAUGAAUAAGGACCGGCUAAUUCCGUGCCAGCAGCCGCGGUAAUACGGAAGGUCCGGGCGUUAUCCGGAUUUAUUGGGUUUAAAGGGAGCGUAGGCUGUCUAUUAAGCGUGUUGUGAAAUAUACCGGCUCAACCGGUGGCUUGCAGCGCGAACUGGUCGACUUGAGUAUGCAGGAAGUAGGCGGAAUUCAUGGUGUAGCGGUGAAAUGCUUAGAUAUCAUGACGAACUCCGAUUGCGCAGGCAGCUUACUGUAGCAUAACUGACGCUGAUGCUCGAAAGUGCGGGUAUCAAACAGG